UCAAAAUCAGUUCUUUCGUGUUGGUCGUAUCUAUGGUUGUGAGAAUGAUGCAGAAAGAUUUGGUUUCUUUUGUCAUGCAGCUCUUGAAUAUUUAUUUCAAGCUGGAUUUCAUCCAGAUAUCAUUCAUUGCCAUGAUUGGUCGAGUGCACCAGUUACAUGGUUAUGCAAAGAACAAUAUAGACAAUGCAGUCUAAGCAAAGCAGGAGUUGUGUUUACAGUUCAUAACAUUGAAUGUGGAGCUCAUUUAAUUGGAAAAGCAAUGGCAUACACAGACAAGGCUACAACUGUCUCCCCAACUUAUUCUAGAGAGGUUUAUGAAAACCCUAUAUUUCGUCCUCAUUUUGACAAGUUUCACGGUAUCUUAAAU
rnacentral:sRNA from 1 species